GACGAACGCUGGCGGCGUGCUUAACACAUGCAAGUCGAACGAAGAGCGAUGGAAGCUUGCUUCUAUCAAUCUUAGUGGCGCACGGGUGAGUAACGCGUAAUCAACCUGCCCUUCAGAGGGGGACAACAGUUGGAAACGACUGCUAAUACCGCAUACGAUCUAAUCUCGGCAUCGAGGAUAGAUGAAAGGUGGCCUCUACAUGUAAGCUAUCACUGAAGGAGGGGAUUGCGUCUGAUUAGCUAGUUGGAGGGGUAACGGCCCACCAAGGCGAUGAUCAGUAGCCGGUCUGAGAGGAUGAACGGCCACAUUGGGACUGAGACACGGCCCAGACUCCUACGGGAGGCAGCAGUGGGGAAUCUUCCGCAAUGGACGAAAGUCUGACGGAGCAACGCCGCGUGAGUGAUGACGGCCUUCGGGUUGUAAAGCUCUGUUAAUCGGGACGAAAGGCCUUCUUGCGAAUAGUGAGAAGGAUUGACGGUACCGGAAUAGAAAGCCACGGCUAACUACGU
rnacentral:rRNA from 1 species